GAUGAACGCUGGCGGCGUGCCUAAUACAUGCGAGUCGAGCGAACAGACGAGGAGCUUGCUCCUCUGACGUUAGCGGCGGACGGGUGAGUAACACGUGGAUAACCUACCUAUAAGACUGGGAUAACUUCGGGAAACCGGAGCUAAUACCGGAUAAUAUAUUGAACCGCAUGGUUCAAUAAUGAAAGACGGUUUUGCUGUCACUUAUAGAUGGAUCCGCGCCGCAUUAGCUAGUUGGUAAGGUAACGGCUUACCAAGGCAACGAUGCGUAGCCGACCUGAGAGGGUGAUCGGCCACACUGGAACUGAGACACGGUCCAGACUCCUACGGGAGGCAGCAGUAGGGAAUCUUCCGCAAUGGGCGAAAGCCUGACGGAGCAACGCCGCGUGAGUGAUGAAGGUCUUCGGAUCGUAAAACUCUGUUAUUAGGGAAGAACAAAUGUGUAAGUAACUAUGCACGUCUUGACGGUACCUAAUCAGAAAGCCACGGCUAACUACGUG
rnacentral:rRNA from 1 species